AUGCAUCACACACCUCAUGUGGAUCUAGCUUUCAACAGCGUAGAACACAUUAUGAGAGAUGUUGAAGGGGGCUGGUUGCUCCGUUAUAUGCAUGCUAAUGGGGCAAGUAUGUUUCUCAUUGUGGUUCACCUUCAUAUUUUUCAUGGUCUAUAUCAUGCGAGUUAUAGCAGUCCUAGGGAAUUUGUUCGGUGUCUCAGAGUUGUCAUAUUCCUAUUAAUGAUUGUGACAGCUUUUAUAGGAUACGUACCACCUUGGGGUCAGAUGAGCUUUUGGGGAGCAACAGUAAUUACAAGCUUAGCUAGCGCCAUACCAGUAGUAGGAGAUACCAUAGUGACUUGGCUUUGGGGUGGUUUCUCCGUGGACAAUGCCACCUUAAAUCGUUUUUUUAGUCUCCAUCAUUUACUCCCCCUUAUUUUAGUAGGCGCCAGUCUUCUUCAUCUGGCCUCAUUGCAUCAAUAUGGAUCAAAUAAUCCAUUGGGUGUACAUUCUGAGAUGGAUAAAAUUGCUUCUUACCCUUAUUUUAUGUAA
rnacentral:rRNA from 1 species